rnacentral:lncRNA from 1 species
AUCUUACGCCCGUCGCCCUGAGUACGUUAGCGGAAAUGGCUCCGAGAGGCUUUGACGCAUGUGUACCUUUUUAGUGGCGGUAUCUCGGCCGGGGAUUUUCGGGCUCCAGUGGAGGUGGCUAUGCUCACCCCAUCUCCCUUGAGAGGCACAGAAGGUUAGAGAUGUGUGCGAGGAACGGCCAGGUCCAGCGUCUCCUCGUUGCUGCCCCUUGAGCCCGGGACCGGCGCCAAUGCGCGCCCGGGUUCUUGGGUUCUUUCGUCCCGCAGACCUGCCUUGGUGUGGCGUCCCUGGGCCGUAGCUUCCGAAGGCUGCAGCCGACCUGGUCGGGGUCCUCUAGCCCGCCUUCCCCUUCCCCCAUUGACAGAUGGAGAAACUGAGGCCCAGGCCAAAAAAUAUCUCACUAGAGGGCUCACCGCCAUUUCCUGGAAAAAUUGGGGCUGGGACUCAACGGACGCUCGUCCAGCAGCAGCGCGGAGCUCCGAAGUAAAGGCGCCCGUGACCGAGUGCUUUGUCCUUACAAGCGUGGUGUUCUUGAAUGCUUCCAGGCGCCUUAUGAGGCCCCCGAUGUACAAUCUGUGCUUAACUAAACCCCACUGUCUUCCAGGGUCAGGUUGGCCAUCCGCAGGCGUAGUUGCUAGGAAGGUUUGACAGAUGUCCGCCUGUUGAUUCAGACGUUCCCAGGAUUUGGAGCAAGAAGAGCAAGGAAGGCCAGGCGCGGUGGCUCACGUUUGUAAUCCCAGCACUUUGGGAGGCCGAGGCGGGCGGAUCACGAGGUCAGGAGUUCGAGACCAGCCUGGCCAGCAUGGUGAAACCCCGUCUCUACUAAAAAUACAAAAGAAAAUUAGCCGGGUGUGGUGGCACAUGCCUGUAGUCCCACCUACUUGGGAGGCUGAGGCAGGAGAAUUGUUUGACCUGGCAGGCGGAGGUUGCAGUGAGCCGAGAUUGCGCCACUGCACUCCAGUCUGGGCGACAGAGCGAGACUCUGUCUCAGAAAAAAAAAAGAGCAAGGAGGUGUUGAAAAUGGGUUUCCUGGCUGGGCGUGGUGGCUCACGCUUGUAAUCCCAGCACUUUGGGAAGCUGAGGUGGGCGGAUCACUUGAGGUCAGGAGUUUGAGACCAGCCUGGCCAACAUGGUGAAACACCGUCUCCACUAAAAAUAGAAAAAUUAACUGGGUGUGGUGGAGGGCGCCUGUAAUCCCAGCUAAUCAGGAAGCUGAGACAGGAGGAUCGCUUGAACCCAGGAGGCGGAGGUUGCAGUGAGCCGAGAUUGCUCCAUUGCACUCCAGCCUGGGCGAUAGAGUGAGACUCAGCCUCAAAAAAAAAAAAAAAAAAAAAUUCGCCAGGUGUGGUGGUGUGCGCCUAUAAUCCCAGCUACUCAGGAGGCAGAGGCACAAGAAUGGCUUGAAUCACUUGAACCUGGGAGGCAGAGGUUACAAUGAGCCGAGAUGGCACCACUGCACUCCAGCCUGGGCGACAGAGCGAGACUCCGACUUCCCAUCUUAAAAAAAAAAAAAAAAAAAAAAAAGAAGUGUAAAGAUGUGAUUAUGUGGCAGGGGGUAAGGGUUAAAAAGAAAACAAGAACAAGUUUUCCUCUGCUUAGCCAGCUUACUUCAAGGACAGUUAUAACACUGAAAAGUCGAGGCCAAAGGAAUGGGCUCCAGACAGCCUCCUCCGGAGCAAAGUUGAAAAGAAAAAUUCCUUUACUGUCUCUCCUUUUCUGAACCAUUAAAUAUGACUGUUUGCCAAUGGUUGUAUUUAGUAAGAUUUGUAGACUCUGUUUUUCUUUUGACACAGCUGCAAGGCCAACAGCUGUGCAAAGCCACAAGUUAUGCUAAGUCAGCAGUUAUGCUAUAGAUUACAUGACCUGUGACUGUAUCAUUAACUGCUUUUGUUUUGCUUCUGUAAGUUUGCCUAUAAAAACCACACUCAGUCUUUGUUCAAUGGUCAGCUUUUCAGAUACAAAUCCACUGAGCCGGUGUACAUCUAAAUAAAUCCUCCUGUUUCCCGUGUCAG